rnacentral:pre_miRNA from 1 species
GGAAUAUAAGAACCUGUCUCUUAAUUUUUAACUAAAAAAACUAAGAACCGGCUUUUAAAUAAAAUAUUUAAGAACCAUUUUUUAUCACCGGUUUUUAUCUUUUUUAGUUAAAAGUUAAGAAAUGGGUCCUUAUAUUCC